GUGCUGGCUUCGGCAGCACAUAUACUAAAAUUGGAACAGUACAUCCUGCGCAAGGAUGACACACAAAUUCGUGAAGCGUUCCAUUUUAAA
rnacentral:snRNA from 1 species